rnacentral:rRNA from 1 species
AGAGUUUGAUUAUGGCUCAGGAUGAACGCUAGCUACAGGCUUAACACAUGCAAGUCGAGGGGCAGCAUUGGGGUAGCAAUACUUCAGAUGGCGACCGGCGCACGGGUGAGUAACACGUAUCCAACCUGCCGCUUACUCGGGGAUAGCCUUUCGAAAGAAAGAUUAAUACCCGAUGGUAUAAAGAGUUCGCAUGUUCUCUUUAUUAAAGAAUUUCGGUAAGCGAUGGGGAUGCGUUCCAUUAGAUUGUUGGCGGGGUAACGGCCCACCAAGUCUACGAUGGAUAGGGGUUCUGAGAGGAAGGUCCCCCACAUUGGAACUGAGACACGGUCCAAACUCCUACGGGAGGCAGCAGUGAGGAAUAUUGGUCAAUGGACGAGAGUCUGAACCAGCCAAAAGUAGCGUGAAGGGUGACUGCCCUAUGGGUUGUAAACUUCUUUUAUAAGGGAAUAAAGUGAGGGACGUGUCCCUUUUUGUAUGUACCUUAUGAAUAAGGAUCGGCUAACUCCGUGCCAGCCGCCGC